CUCCAGCAAGCAGCAGUAAAGACCAUGCGGUUAUGGCUGCUAUCAUUCCCUGAUUUAAGUUGGUCAGAAGGCACAUUCGUUUUACGUUAUUCCAAGACCGACAGUAAAGUUGAAGAAAA